rnacentral:lncRNA from 1 species
UUGAGUAGGUGAGAAGUAUCAGGCUUUCAUCCGAUUUCUUGUGGAUUGGAUGAUGGAUAAACCAGCAAGUAGGGUCUUGCCUAGGUUGAACAUGCAACUAAAGGGCUGCGCUAUGUAAACACAAGGUUUGCUCCAGCCUAUGAAAGGAUGGUCCCAGACCUGUCUGACCUACCGUUAGCUUUGCUAAAGCAGUACUCCCAGGGUAAGGACAGGUGGCAUAGCGCAGCCCUCACCGAUGUGAGUGACUGGGCACCACAUCUCGACCAGCUCGUCCCAACGGAGCGAAGGCCUCCUCAGCGCGAAAUCCUGACAUGAAUACAAAGAAUUUGGUGGGUAUUUCAGAGGAGCCCAAAGGCGCUUUCUAUGAAAUCCUAUGGUCAUGUCUUUAUCCUAAGGGCUAUAGAAAGAACUAUCUCUGGCAAGCAUUAAGCCGUCGAACUACCGACUCUAUAAGCUUCUACGUGCUAUAUUCUCUUCGCCUAACACAUUCAACUACCUUUUCUUGAAAGGAGUCCGACUGCUGCUUUAAUACAGUCUGUUUAGGGUCUCUUUUUAUGCGGCUCCCCUUCCUGGGAGGUAAUUACCGUUAGCGUACAGCACCCCUCGUAAGCAACUCGGCAACCCCGUAGGCCUCCGGCGCGCACAACAACCAAACCACUUUACUUCUUCAAUCUAUUCGUUUGGAUACGCGGUAAGUAAGGCGAAAGAAGCGCGAUUGCGCAGCUCAAUAGGGCUCCUGUGAGUCCGAAAACUAGCUGCCUAUGAGCUAUCGAGACACUGGGAAUGUGUAUCGCUAUUAGUGCCCCAUCAGGUGAAAACUUUGACCUUCCCUCUUCGGCCUAAAAGACAGACAACCAAAGCCCGAGUAAGGGUACUCGGAGGAGGGAAGCCGGCCAUCCGCCUCCUUCCUUUAGAUUACUAGGUCUGUGAACUGAGUCAUCAGAUGCAAAAGGCGCAUAGCCGACAUCAACGUGAAGUGCAGCCCUUAUCUUUUCAGGUCUAGUGCUAGACCCUGACCGGUUAAACCGCGACGAUCAAAUGCUUUCAUAUGGUUGGCUGGCUUCGAUAGAAACGAAAGGGUGUUAAUCCGCAUGGAAUCGGAUAGGCCGAGGGUUAGAAAGCCGCCUUAACGCCUUAUCCAAGAAGUUGCCCUUCUGAGGCUAACCCGUCGUACCCCUGCGCGAUGGCGUCGUAAGAGGCGUGGGCUGCUUCACCAACAUGAAAGAGAGGGCCGGCUGGGAAAGAGAGAGAACCGGGCCGACCGCAAGACAAGAUAGUUUGUGGAUGGAAAUUCAAGGAGGUGGCUUACUUAUGAGCAAAAAGGGAAGUCCCCUUGCCUAUCAACAAGAGAAGAGUGUCUGUCCACAGGGUUUUUACGGAAUCCUGUUUCGAUAUGAGACUCAUCCCCUUUCGGUCUCGGGUUGAUGAGGUCUUCAUCCCGGUUCCCAAUUUGAUUCUCUAUAUUUCUCUCUGUGAGAUAAACUGCUUUGCUUCCAUUCAAUCCGUGCGUUCUCCGGGUUCAAUGAGUAAGACAUAGUUGUUUGUGAUAGUGAUCUCUAGAAGUUGGCUAAUCUCUUUCAGAAAUAUUCUUUGGGAUCACUAAACUGUUUGUAUAGGAUGAACAGCUGGGCAGUGGGCUACAAUGGAGGAGUGAUGAGGGUCGUUUGCGUACUGUAUGUCUUCCCCCGGGUGUUAGGAUCCCCUAUGGAACGAUGGAGUUGAAUCAAGGCACCUGCUUGCUUGGCCGAAGCUCCAUGUCAUGACUGAAUCAAGCAAGGGAGUCUCCGUCCUUUACGGUCCAUUACGUCUUUCUCUUCCUGAUCCCCCUCCUCCCUCUCCCUUCUCGUUGCCUACCAAGAAAAAAAGGACUUUGAAGGUUCUGUGCCGAUCGUGUUCUCUCGUCUUUCAAAUGGUGAAUCACCGAAGCCAAAUCCAUCUUGCGCAGACGGGAGACGAUGAUCGAAGUCAGACUUGAGUAUGGGACGAGAACUCGCUGAUUUGGAUUCGAAUCAAAUGAGACUGAAAGCACCAUUUCUUUUGACAUUGGACUUGCUCGUCAGCCUCCUCUUUAUGGAACGCAAGGUGGCAGCUCGCUCUCUUCUUAUUUUUCUUGAUUAGCUAUCCAAAGCUCUCACAAAAAACCCUUUUUUCUUUCGAUUCAGUGGCUGAAGGAUGAGUUCUUCCUUGAGUUGUCUUUGACCGACUGACUGGGAAGCUCAGCUUGGGAGACAGAUGCAAAAGGAGGUGAUCUUGUUGCUGACCGAGUCUUGACCUCACUCCUGGCUCUCGAAAUGCUCAAUCAGGCUUUCCACUGAUUCCUACCAACCAAGGCUGCAAGUGCGUGCUGUUGGCGAUCCAGAAUGGUCUACCUCCAUUUGGGAAACUCAAUGCUCCCAUUGGCCAUGAGGCUUUUUUAGUCAUUUUAGACU